rnacentral:rRNA from 1 species
UACGUAGGGGGCAAGCGUUUGUCCGGAAUCAUUGGGCGUAAAGAGCGCGUAGGCGGCCCUGUAAGUCCGCUGUGAAAGUCAAGGGCUCAACCCUUGAAUGCCGGUGGAUACUGCAGGGCUAGAGUCCGGAAGAGGCGAGUGGAAUUCCUGGUGUAGCGGUGAAAUGCGCAGAUAACAGGAAGAACACCCGUGGCGAAGGCGGCUCUCUGGGACGGUACUGACGCUGAGACGCGAAAGCGUGGGGAGCGAACAGG